rnacentral:lncRNA from 1 species
AGCUCCAGUAUUUUUAACUCUAUUUUAUUUAUGCAUUUUAUUCAGUUUAGGCUUAUGAAGUGCUUUGCUAUGUCUGAGUAAUUCACUUGUUAGAUUUAGGGUCCAAAUAGGUUAAGAGAGAUUAGCCCAAAAUAUAGAAUUGCUAAGGUGAUAAAUAUCCUUCAAAGAAUUGUGGUUAAUGAAUGUGUACUAGAGUAGCUAACUAGAACCUUGAACUUAGGAUUAUGGACAACUACGAUGGUAGGUUCU